AAUACUCAGUUUAUACUGAACCUCUUUGAUACAUUCUUGUCCUACCACAUCAGAAUCAGAAGACUUUAGCCACUGUUCUAUAAUGGGGUCCAUAACUAGACCCACCACCAGCAGUGCUUUUAACCCUUAAACAACCUGAACUAGGUGCCAAAUGCAGACUGCCUUAAGAUCUGAUAGUGACACUGGCAUCUGCUGUUAAAACACACAUUUUAAAGUCCCACGUGCUGCAAGGGAAGAUACAAAAGACAGAAGAACACCAGCUGCAGCAGGCACAGGGAGCAGAGACAAGGCAAGCUGCCUCCCACCCUAGGACCCUCCCCAGCUGCAGAAAAUACAAGCAAAUCAAAUGGAAUGCAAGUGGCUAGGGAAGCUCAGGGAGCCUUUGCCCCAGACAAGGAACAGCUGGUCCCCGCUGUUUCCAUCACCAUGGUAACAACAGGAAGCCUGGAAGGCCCAAGCUGGUUUCCGGGUCCUGCCUCCUGUAUUUUCUCGGCUUCCCAUUGGUCCUUUCACUGUCACUCAGACAGGACUUCUGGUCCCACUUUCCAGCCACUAACCUGUACUUCCUGUUUCAUCCCUGCUACCAGGAGCUGUGCAGAGACUGCAUUUUUAAGAAUAUCUACCUAAAAUACUAAUGAAAGAUCUUUUUCUGGCAAAAUUUAAUUCCACAGGCUUCUACAUUCCAUCCCUGAGACUUUUUCAAAAUUUCUAAGGUAUUUGAGAUAAAUGUAUUUUACUAUAAAUUUGCUUUUAAGAGAUAAUACAACCAUCAAGUAAUCUCUCCCAAAUUGUUGUACAAAUUCCAUAAGGUCCAAUAAUUUGUUAGAUUCUAAGGUUUUCAAGAAUUGUUCCAAGGAAAAAACAGAAAGAGUUCUAAAAGGAAAAGAAGAUACUUACACAGAGAGGAAGCACACAUUGGAGGUCCUAAGAGGAAGAAGUGAAUCAUCUUUGGGUAAAACAAGGUCUUUUUAAUCUGGAUUUUAAUGACAAAACUAUUUUCCUAAAAAGGAAUAUCUGUAUAUCAUUAUGUAGACAGAUGAUAUAGAAAGUUAAAACAAUUGAAAAAGAGAUUUAUAUGUACUGGACUGACUAUAAAAAUUUUAACUAAUUCAAGAGUAUUUCAGGCUAUAUUCUUGAUUUCACUGUGCUGAUGUGAGUUAAGAUUUUGUCCAUAUUUUGACAGAAUAAAGACCUACUAAAAUGUUACGUGUAUUUUCUUUAAGGAAGGGUUUUAUUGCCUAAUGAUUCGUAUUGUUACAGCAAGGAUUAAUUUUAGUAAAUAAAUUCACAUCCUUGAUUAAACACUAAAUAUAUUAAACUACUGACUUAGAUUCCAAAUUUGACAAUUAUCCUUUGAGACUAAAUUUGAUUGAUUCAAAGACACUGCUGAAAUUUACAAAUUCCCUUUUUUUUGCUAGAUAUUUGUGAGAUUUGGAAGAACAUUGAUAUUCUCCAAAUUAAAGUCAUACAUUGCUUUUGAGCAAUAAAGGUUGCAAACUUUGCUGGAAAUUCAUUAGUGUUUUAUAAGUUCUUUGACUGGACCUGUUAUUUAUUUUAAAAAUGGUAAAAUUUACAUACUACUCCCUACACUGGGAAGUAAGCUUAAUCGUAUUUCCUCAAAGACAAUUAAGAGAUACCUAUUUAAAGGAUAAUAUUCUUAGAUAUAGAAAUAUUUUGGAAACUUCUCUCAAGAAGAGAUUGAGGGCUCCCUAUAAUUUAAAUUACUGAUAUUAUGAUUUAUAACAGUCUUUUAAAUAAAGAAAAAGAAAAAAAAAACAGGACCCCACAAGCACAUACUAGAUCUUACAAAUAUUAAAAAAAAUUUUUUUUCUUAAAUUGUAAUAUUGAGAGUUUUAUUGUUACUCAACAUGAUUCAGUAAAUUAAAUCAGAUUUUAAAAGAGAGUUGAAACCUCUCAUCAUGAAAAUGACUGUAGGGCCUGAAAUUGUAAGGUAAAUCUCACCACUGCAGAAUUUAGAGCCAUGCAGCUUCAUGAGCUUAUCAGGCAAGUAAAAAUUAUGAAGAGACUUGCAUGGACCCAUUUCUCAGGUCCACCUUUAAUGUGCCUUGAAGUGUGGACUGAAAAGUCCACCCAUGAACUAGAUUAAUUGUACUGACUGUAAUGUUCAAUUAUUCCUAUAUGUUGAACUUAUGGUACACAGACUCUCUGGGAUUAUCUUUUGAGAAAAAGACAGCAUGUAAGAAACCUAAACCAGCCAAUCAUGCUGGUCCUUAAAAGUUAAGAUGAUAUUUACUUUUCUGGACAAUUGUCAGAAAGAUUAUUAAAAUAGUUUUUAUUCUACACAGGCCAGUUAUUUAUGUAAGAUAUCCACCAACAUAUUAUUCUCCUACUCAUUCUACAAUAGGAAUUGUAGUAUGGAUAGUUGGUGCAAAUGUCUUGCCAGUCAACCCAAGAUAUCUAGAAAUAGUGGAUAUAUUUUAGACUGGUCUCCCAGAAUUGACAAAGCUGAUUAUGCAAGGAUGCCAUAACACAUGAAGGUUUAUUGGUAAUAACCUAGCCCCUCAGUGAGUUGGCACCCAAAAGGAUGUUUUGAUGUUUGACUUCUAUCUUCAAAAUAUUUACAUUAUUGACCUAAAAAAACUCAUUAAAUGUGAGAAUUAACUAAAAGGAUGAUGUAUAUCCUGUAGUCUGUAAGAAUGCAACUUGUCUUAUUGUAUCACUAGUUAUUGCCUGCUAAUAUUUCAGAGCUAUAAUAUGCUGAGGUUAACAUUCAGGCUUUGAAACAGGUGCAUGCUAAUUAACCAGACCUAGGCAAGCUCCUGCUCUCAUGAUCCUUGAAGUGACUACAUUAAAUAUAAUUUCCUGCUUCUGUAAUUAUAGUCUUUAUGGCUAUGUUUUAAACUUAGAACAUGUGAAUUUUCUUAAGAUUUGAUUUAAAUCACUUCCAAGAUCCUUCAUAGUCAAUUAAGUUCUGAUGGAAGAAUUGGAACUAAGUUAAAAUGCUCUAGAAGACAAUAUACUGAAUAAUGCAAAUGAGCCUUCUGCUCUAUGGUUUGUGGAUAGGCUUAAAUGCCAUGCCAAUUAAAUAAUCUUUGUUAAUAUGGCCAAAUGCAAUGCUUCCCAAUAAAAUUGAAAAAAGAUUAAAAAUCUUCUGAUGAGUGUUUGUCAGAGUAAAAAUAAUAACUUGGAUCUUGCAAGUUGAUUAUAUUAUUGAAAUGGUAUGUUUUCUACUAAUUCCUUUUGUGAUUCAAUGGUAGAUUAUGUUGAACUUGGAAUGUAACAAUUAUAAGACAUACAUAAGCUUCUUUAUAUUUUGCUUUUAAUUUUGAAGGUUUUGAGGAGACAUUUGCUUGUCACAGGAACAAAAGCCGGCAAUGUCCCUAUGAUAAUCAAAUAAUCCUCAUUCUCAUUCCUGAGUAUAAAAUUACAAGACAUAAGUCAAUGUAUACAGAAGAAUCUUAUUAUGUAUGUCACAAAUUUAAAACAAUCACUACUAAUCCAAGAAAAAUUAAAAUGGAUCCAGAUAUCAUAAGAACCACGUGGUUGCAUAAAGUUAAUACUAUUAUAAGUAAUGCCCUUAUUCUUAAUACAUAUUUUUCUAGGAAUUUGGACAACCUGUAGUUGUUAAUUCAUAAAAUAAUUAGCAUAUAUAUCUAAUUGUUUAAUUAAUAUGUAUUUAUGUAAUUGUUUUUCUUCAACAGAAAACACAUAAUUUAUAUAUUACUUAUACAUGCAUUUCUCUGAUGCUCUGCCUUUUAAUUACAGGUAUUUGAGAUAAAUGUAUUUUACUAUAAAUUUGCUUUUAAGAGAUAAUACAACCAUCAAGUAAUCUCUCCCAAAUUGUUGUACAAACUUUAUAAGGUAAUAACAAAUAUAAUUAAUUCUGUCUACAGAAAUAUCCAAUGGCUUUAACUAUAUUUUCAUUUGAGAUGUUUCUUCUUAUCAAGAUAUAAUAAGUUGUUAGAUUCUACAGUUUUCAAAUAUUGUCCCAGAAAAAAAAAAAAAACCAGGAAGAAUUCUAAAAGGAAAAGAAGAUACUUUCACAGAGAGGAAGCACAUAUUGGAGGUCCUAAGAGAAAGAAAUGAAUCAUCUUUGGGUAAAACAAGGUGUUUGUAUUCUGGAUUUUAAUGAUUAGAGUAUUUUCCUAAAAAGAAAAAUCUGUAUAGCAUUAUGUAGAGAGAUGAUAUAGAAAGUUAAAACAAUUGAAAAAGAGAUUUAUAUGUACUGGACUAAUUAUAAAAAUUUAAUUGAUUAAUUCAAGAGUAUUUCAGGCUAUUUUCUUGAAUCUACUGAUGUGUGCUAAGAUAUUGUCCAUAUUUUGACACACUAAAGACCUAUUAAAAUGUUACGUGUAUUUCCUUUCAAGAAGGUCUUUAUUGCCUAAUGAUUCUCAUUGUUUAAGGCAAGUAUUAAUUUUAGAAAAUAAAUUCACAUUCUUGAUUAAACAUGAAAUAUAUUUAACUGCUGACUUAGAUCCCAAAUUUGACAAUUCUCAUUAGAGACUAAAUUAGAUUGAUUCAAAGAACCUGCUGAAAUUUACAAAUUACUCUUUUUUUUUUUUUGCUGGAUAGUUGUGAGACUUGGGAGAACAUUGAUGUUCUCCAAACUAAAGUGGUACAUUGGUUUUGAGCAAUAGAGUUUGCAAACUUUGUUGAAAAUUCAUUGGUAUUAUAUAAGUUCUUUGAUUGGACCUAUUAUCCACAAAAAUAUGGUAAAAUUUACAUACUACUCCCUACACUGGGAUUUACAUAUUACUACUAAGAUUUACAUACUAUUCCCUACACUGGAAGCUUAACCAUAUUUUCUUGGUGACUAAAUCAUGUAAUACCCCAAUUGCCUUUAAAUAUUAAUCAAGGGGAAUUUGUGGGUAGCCACUCCAAAUUAAGGCACCUUUAGUCCUGAUGCACCAUGGGGGUCUGAAAUAUCAAUAUAGUCUGGAGCAGAAGUGCCAUGACUCCAUCUUUUCCCAUGGUUGGAUAAUAAGGUAUGGCUCUGGGAGUAGCCCUAGGGGUAGGUGGUACCCAGAGGGGGUGAGUGUGGGAAGCCACUCUGAAUGAUUUAUGCCUCCCAUCCUGGAGGGGAGAGGCUUUGACAGGCACUAAAUAUUGUAGUGACCUGGACAUUGCCCUGGUCCUGGAAGUUUGAGGGCAUGUCUUUAGAUGUAGGUCUCUCACCUCAUGGCCCUUUGGGUCAAAUUACACUCACCUGUCCUUUGUAACCCUGCCACUUCUGACCAUUUUUGGAUGGAAUUUCUAAGAAUAAGGGUCACUCAAUAAGAUUCCACAUCCAAAUAUGCUUACAGUCUCUCACCUGCCCCUUGCGACUUUCUCUUGCUCUCCCAUUUGAGGAGCCUGAGGCAGAGAACAAAGAAACCAUCCUGAAGUUUGAUUAAAGAUGCCAAGGUUGCAGGAGCCAUCACAGAACCCAAAGAAAAAAGGGUUAAUGUAAGUGUUACUGCUGUGUACUGGUGAGGAGUGCUUGCUUCCCCAAUGCUGAAGUAUAACACCAGAGAAGCUCACCAAGGCAAGUGUAGAAUGGAAAGUAGAAGCUUUAUUAAAGGAGAGCAAAAAGACUUCUCCCUGGAGGAAGAAGGGGAAUCUGUGUAAGGGACUCAGGGUGAAUCUCUGAAUCCUUUCCCUGGAAACUCUGGGCCCAGGGAACUUGAGCCUUGCUCUAUGAAUCUCAGGGCUUUAUCUGGGUCUCUGUGAAGUCUCAUGUCUUUUGCAGAAGCACAGGAUGGCUCAGCAUCUUCCCCAGAGGUGACGAUCCUUGGCUCAUCUGAUGAAGGUGUAGGAGCGCCGGGCUUAAGCCUGAAAAUGUGAAUCCAUGGGAUUGGGUGUCAGAGGUUUGCUGGAUGAUCACGGUCAAAGCCCCUGCGUAGCCCGUCUGAAGUUGGAUACCCAAUAGGGGAACUCACCUACUGAAGAGCUGGUGUUGUGUGAGUAGCAGCAGAGCUCGAAAGAGUGGCUGGAGCCCAAUGUGGUACCUGGACAUCUGAAACACGGACCCUUCUGGAUGUGUUAAUGGGGGAAGGGAGUAGCUUAUCAUCUGGAGCAGGCUGAUGUGUGUCUUUCACCAGCUGCUACUGAUCCCCUUUGUUUUUAAAGAAACAACACUACACUGCCUUCUUCAAGCUCUACAGAAAUUAACAGAAAAUUUUUGCCAGUAAUGGUGAGUUGAUCUCCUUUAUCUAAUGUGCCAUUAUCAUUGGUAAUUUUUGUUGGAAAACUUUAUGCCUUUAUAUCAGUAAUUGCUAUUCACAAUCAAGGAUUGUGAAUAUUAGAAUGGUUCCUCAGUCCUCAUUUUUCAGGCUGGAAUGUUCUGCCUUUUUCUGAUACAUAUGCAUAAUUAUCUGCUGAUGGUUGCACUAAAAUAUUAUCUUUAACAGGCAUGGACAUUCAUGUUUUAUAUCUCACUUGAAAAAUUCUACCUCUCCAAUUCUUACAAUUUUUCUCCUACUAUCAAGUUGAAUUGACAGACUUUUUUUUAGCACCAAUUUCUUUUCACAUGUCUCAUGAUGAUGGGUGAGUCUCUUUGUUAUGUCAGGUUACACAUUCCCCUCUUUCUUGAUCUACCCUUCCUCUUGUAGCUGGGUCAAUGUUGUAUACAGAUAGAGGUAAGCAAAGAGGGGUAGUAUCUGUUUUUAUUAAUGAUAAAUUCCUGGACCUCUGAUGGAAGGUAACACAUAAGAUGCAGCUGUGAGAUCCUUUUAUCCUUUAUUUUCAGAUUCUGUAGAAUCACAUAGAUAUUUUCAUCUAAACCCUUACUCUCUAGUGAAAAUGUUUUCCAUUUUUUCCCAGAAGGCUUGUGCCAGUGUCAAUACUGUUCUCACUCAGAUGAUCAGAGAGUACCCAGGGUAUCAGAGGGGAUCUGGCCUUUCCCAGUGUCAGUGCGCUUUAGAGCCUCACCUAGUCUCAGGAGGUUUCAAGGCCUUCCCCAGAUUUUCAAUCUUGUUUAGAAAGGGCCACAUGAUCUUCCUGGUGCUUGUAAUAUUGCCCUGUGUUUAGAAGAUGUCUAACCCUUAUAAAGAAUCUCAGCUUCAUUAAUUUUAUUCAUUAUUAUCUCAAUUGCGUUCAAAAUAAUCUUCAAAUUCAUAGGAAGAGAAAGGGGCUUCCUUAUUUUGACAGAUGUGUGCACAACCUUUGCAAGAAUCUUAGUGGUCUCAUUGCCUUUCCAGGCUCUCAGUACAGAUCAGCACCAUUCACAGAUUCACAAUUUAAUCCAAACCUUCCCAAAGGUUCAUAGGUCUUGUUGCUUUUUGCAGGGGAACCCUGAGAUCAGAGCCAACCUCAGAGUAUUCUUUUACUUCAGAGUCUAUUAUAGGUUGUCCCUGAGGCUCGGUGCUAUUCUCAGAAUCUCAGUGAUGCUCAAUGUUUCUUCCAAUUUCAGAGUGGGGCUCUGAAUCUUCUGAAAGAAAACAUGGGGCUCAGGGUUGACCAGGGUUUCUCAAUGAAUCCCAGAGCCUUCCACAGGUUGUUUCUGGAACUAAGUGUCAUUCCCAGCAACACAGUGGUGCUUGGCAUCUUUCUCAGUGUUUGAUUUGUGUCCAGGCUUUCCCAAGUCUCAUUGUGGGUUCUUGGGCCUACAGUACUAUUUCAGUGGAUAUAAAACUCUGCACAAUAUCUAGUGCUGCUCAGAUACUCCCACAGUAUUCUGGGAAAUUAAUGACUUUCUUAAUGUCUGAUUGGGGAAUAGAUCCUUGUCCAGUGUGUCACUGUGACAGAGAGAUAGCCCCCUUAUCAUAGUGGUGCUCAGGGCCUUUCCCAGUGUGUCAGCAGCACUCAGGGUUACCCCAUGAUCACACGUGUAAGCUCAGGGCUUUCUCCAGGGUCUCAGUCUGGCUCAGUGCUUUCUCAAAUGACUUACAGGUGCUCAGGAAAUUCUCUCGGGUCUUUUUUGAGAUGCCAGAUGUGAUUGGGGUUCUGAGUUUUCCCCUAGAACUUCUCUGAGGCAAAAGGCCUUCAAUACACAGUUUUACAUGUUGUUUCAGGGCCUCCACCAGGGUCAAGUUUGAGUUCUGGAUCUUUCCUAGCGUUUCCUUGCGUCAGUGUUUUUGCAGCUCAACAAUGAAGCGCAUGGCUUUCCCAUGCUAUAAUGGAUCUCAGUGCAUUCCCCAGUGUAUCUUUAGUUGUCAGAAAAAUCUCCAAAAUUUCACUGUGACUUAGAGCUGUCCAUGAAAUUUCAGGGGUAUUCAGAUGCUUUCCUUCUGUUUUUGUGAUUCAAAGCUUUCAAAGUGUCUCUUGGCAUUCAGAACAUUUAUAAUAUUUUAGUUGAGCUUUCCCACUGUUUCACUGGAUUUCAGGGCUUUUGCAGGUCACUUAGGAAGCUCAUGAUUCUGGUAAUUACUCAGUGGAUUAUAGAUUCUUGCCCAGGGAUUCGGUGGAUGUCAUAAUCUUCUACAGUCUCACAGUUUAGCUCAGGGUGUUUUUCCAGAAUCUUAGUGUUCUCCUUCCCUCCCUCAUGCAUUCAGUUCAGCUCAUGGACAUUUAUAGUAUCUCAGUGUGGUUCACGGUGUUACCCAGGUUUCCAAAGAGAAAAAGACCUCACCCAAUGCCUCGGUAGAACUCAUGGCCAUUACCAGACUCUGACUAUUACUCAGGGCCUUUUACAUAGUCUCAGUCAAGUUAUAUGCUAUUCCCAGAAUCUCAUAAUGGCUUAAAUAAUUCUCCCAAAUCACAUUGAGUUCAGAGAUUUUGCAAGGGUCUCACUCAUCUCAGCACCUUUCCCAGGUUGUGUUUUUAUUGCCAUUCCCUGGUUUGCAGGGUUGCCCAGGGCCAGCCCAGAGUCUACUGAGUUGUAGGAUAUUCCCCAGAGUCUCAGUGGUGUCCAGAGUCUUCUGCAGUGUCUUAGUCAUGAAAUUACAUUUCAGGCACUGAGUGAAGCUAUAGUCUUCCGGUAAUACCAAUGAUCAGGCAUACCCUAGAGUCUUAGUGACACUCCAUGUAUCAGAGGGGCUCAGAGUCUUUCCCUGUCUCAUAGACCUGUCAAGGCUACACUGAGUCUCUUCCUGUAAGCUCAGGGCAUUCUCCAUGGUCUCGGUCUGGCACAGUGCAUUUAUCCAUGAGUUACGGGGCUCAGGGAGUUUUCUAAGGUAUUUUUUGAGGUCUCAGGUAUAAUUCGGUCAUAGACUUUUCCCCCCAAAAUGUAUGACCACAGUUUCUGGAGGCUAAAGGCCUUCAAUAAACAGAUUUACCAUUGUGUUUAGGGCUUCCAGCAGGGAUUUCUACAGUAUCUCAGACUGGUUCACUGCUUUCCUCACUGAACACAGGGGCUCAGGGAAUACUCUGGGAUUUUUUUUUUUUUUUUUUUUUUGAGAGCUCUUGUAUGAUUGGGUCAUAGUUUUUUGUUUUUUUUCAGAACUUCUGUGAGAGUAAUGACUUUUAAUAAACACUUUUACCAUGAACUUCGGGGCCUGCACCAGGGUCUCAGCAAGAUUGUGGAUCUUUUAUAUGGUGUCCUAUGUCCCAGUGCUUUUACAGCUCACCAACAAAGCUCCUGUCUUCUCACACUCUGUAGAGGGCCUCCACCUUACAUAGUGUACCUGUAGUUCUCAGGCCAAUCUCAAGAUUUGAAUGUGACUCUGGGCAAUCCAUAAAAUUUCAGGCAUGUUCAGAUGCUUUCCAUAAAUUUGUGUGACUCAAAGUCAUUUAAAAGUGUCUCUUGUCAUUGAGAACCUUUACUCAGUUCUAAUUGGUAUCCUAAUUGGCUUUUCCCAGUGUAUCACUGGAAUUAAGUGCAUUUGCAGGUCAUCAAGGAGUCUCAUUGAGUCUGGCAGUGAUUCAGUGGAUUGUAGGUUUUUGCCCAGGAUCUCAGUGGGUUUCAUGGUCUCCUCCAGUGUCAGAGUCAUGAUUAGCACAUUCCUCCAGAGUCUAAGUGUUCUCUUUCUUUUCCUUAUGCAUCCAGAUCAGCUCUUGGACAUUCUCCAGAUCUCAGUGUGAUUCAAAAUGUUCCCAGUUAGUCAAAGUAACAAAGGCCUUGCCAGUUCCUGGGGAACUCAUGGCCAUUACCAGGCUCUCAGAUUUUCCUCAAUACCUUACAGUGUCUAAGUCAUGUUCACUGGUAUUCCAAAAGUGUCACCAUGGCUUCUAUUAUUCCUUAAAGACACACUAUUCUAGAGUUUCUGCUCAGGUCUCAGAAAAAUCUCAGCAACUUUUCCAAUUUGUCAGUAAAGUUUAUUGCCAUUCUCAGGGUCACAGUGUUGCUCAGGGUCAGCCUUGAGUCUUACUGAGACUCCUGGCAUUCCCCAGAGUCACAGUGGUGCCCAGGGCCUUCUCCAGUCUCAGUGCUGCCAUGUUUUUCUCAGGCACUACAGUGACACUAUACUGUUCCCAGGUUACACUGAUGAUCAGGACCUAUUUUGGUGUCUCAGUAACCAUCUUGGUAUCAGAGGAGUUGGGUGUCUUUUCCAUGUCAGUGUUCCUCAGGGCCUACUCUAGAAUCUCAGAAGGGCUUAAUGCCUUGCCCAGAAUUUCAAUCUUGUUUAGAAAGUUUCACAUUGUCUUCAUGGUGCUUGGGAUAUUGCCUAGUUUUUAGAACAUGCUAAAGGCUUCAAUAAAAGAAUCUCAGAUUUGUUAAUUGUAUUUACUAUUGUCUCAGUGGUGUUCAAAAUAUCCAUCAGAUUUUUAAGAAGGCAAAGGGCCCUCCUUACAUUGGCAGGUGUUUGCACAACUUUCCCAAGACUUAGUAUUUUCAUUGCCUUCUCAGAUCUCAGUGCAGAUCAGCUCCAUCCAAAAUUUUACCAUUUUCUCAGGGCCUUCCCAGGGCCUCGAUAAGUGACAUUUCCUUUUAUAGGGGAAUACUUGGUUUCAGAGCUAACCUCAGGGUCUCCUGUUGUUUAAGAAUCCCAGUGCUAUUCUCAGAGUCUCAGUGAUGCAAAUGCUUAGUCAAGCCUCAUUGUGAUGCUCUAAAUCUUCCCAAUAAAAAUACAGUUUUCAUGGCUGUUUAAUUUUCAGGAAAAUUUUUAGGAUUUCAGCAUGACUCACAACUGUACAUAGAAUUUCAGGGGUGUUCCAUGAGUUUGUGUGAUUCAAAGGCCUUUAAAAAAGUCUAUUGGCAUUCAUGGUUUUUGUUAGUGUCUCAGUAAAUCUCAGCACUUUCCCCAGGUUCUCAGUGGAGUUCAUUGCCAUUCUCUGGGUCACAGUGUUGCUCAGGUCCUGCCCAGAGUCUUUGUCCCAGGGCAUUCCCCAGGAUUACAGUGAUCUCCAGGUCCUUUUGCAGAGUAUUUGUCAUGUCAUUUCCUUCCUAGGCAUUCAGUGAUGCUGUAGUUUUCCCAGGAAACACUGAUUAUCACUGCCUAUGCCAAAUUCUCAGUGACAGGAAGGGUAUCCAAGGGACUCAGCAUCUUUCCCAGGGUCAGUGGGCCUCAGAGCCUACCCUAGAGUCUUGUAGCUGGGUUGAUGUUAUACACAGAUGGAGGUAAGCAAAGUGGGUAGUAUCUGUUUUUAUUAAAUUGAUAAAUUCCUGGACCUCUGAUGGAAGGUAACACACAGAUGCAUCUGUGAGAUCCUUUUAUACUUUAUUUUCAGUUGCUGUAGAAGCUCAUAGAUAUUUUCAUUAAAACACUUGCUCACUAAUGAAGAUGUUUUCCUGUUUUCCCAACAGACUUGUGCCAUUGUCAAUAACUGUUCUUACUGGAUGCCCUUCUGAGACCCCAUGUGGGAAUCUGUAAAUCCAUGGGGCCUAUAGUCUAAUGCACUUUGGGAAAUGGAUAAUGUUCAUUUCCUUUCCAUCUCACUUUUAUCCUUUUUCCUUUCUCCAUGUUUCCAUUAGGACUCAUUCUGGGUUCAUUAGGGCUAGUGCCCAUGGGUCUGAAAAGGUACCUGCUUGCAUUUCUAAUUUUUUACUCUGCUUUGUCACUAUGGACAAAUAAAUUUUAAAAUAUAUCAAUAUAUGCACUUUCAUAUAUGUCCUAUGCUUUUGCAUAAUUUUGUACUCAUUGGAUUGACUGUCACAGCUUACAAAAAAGUAUGAAAUUAGCCUUUGCUAUGGUGAAAAACUCUAUGGAAAUCAAUAUGUUAAAUGAAGAAAAAAAUCAUUAAGUCAUUCUUCACAAUUGGGCUGAAAUUGAUUAUUUAUUAUUAUUACAUCAUAAAGGCUGUAAUGACCUUAACAAUAUGUGUUACUUUAAUAUAAGGGACAAUAGUAACUCCAUUUCAAAAGAGUUAGAUUACCUUGUAGACAUCAUUAAAAAGAUCCAAUAGGGUUAUGGAAGUUUAGAUAUAUUGGAUUGGUUAACUGUGUGGUUAACCAAUCUUACUUGGAUUAAACAACUAGUCAUAGGUGAGUGUCUACUAAUACUGGGAUUGUUCUUUUGUUUUUGUUGUUGUUGAAGCCUACCCUAUUUUUUACCUCCACCAAUAUUAAAAAACAAAACAAAACAAAAAAUAAACCCCAAAUGUUAUCCCUCCAAAAGGCCACACAAAACAAAAAAAGGAGGAGCUGUAAGGCUCUGACUGUGGAAAUGUAUUUAACAGCAAGUGUCUCUGGUGAGCAAACUCCUGGAGAACAAGAGGUGUCCUGUUUCCCACAGCUGGAACAUUCUGCAGUUUCUCCCAGACACUAUUACUAAAACUAAUGCAUGCUCAACCAGAACACCUAAUGUACUAAUGGUGCAGUGAGCUAAUGUAACCUAUCAGUAUAAAUAAAGACAGCUGCUUAGACAAGCAGCCAUUUUGCCUCUGCAUCUUGCUUUCUUCUCUUUUUGUUUCCUUACAGUCUCAGGACAGUCGCAGUUCAUAGAUUCACAGGUUCUUCAAUGUUUUACUGGUUUAUUUGCCUUCUCACACAGUCAUUGGCGCUUAGCAACAUUGACACAUUCACAGUCAUGCAGAAUGCCUGCCUCUGACCCUUCAUGAUGUCAAGGAUUUUCUUCAAGGUAUCUAUAUCUUUGGUAUUUUCUCAACAUGAGUAAAUCUCAUGGUCAACUCUAGCAUCUAAGAUCAGGGCCUACCCAGCAGCUCAAGAGGACCCAAGGACUUAACCAGAAUUUCAAUCAUGUUUAGAAAGGUCCUCAUGGUCUCCAUGGUGCUCAGAUUAUUGCCCAGGUUUUAGAAUAGGCUAAAGUCCUACAAAAUCUCAGAGGGGUUAAGUUCAUUUACUGUUGACUCAAUAGUGUUCAAAAUCUACUCAGAGUAGUAGGGGGCUCAGGGUCUUCCUUAGGUUGACAGAUGUAUGCAUGGCCUUCCCCAAAAUCUCAGUGGUCUCAUUGCCUUUCCAGAUUCUCAGUGAAGCACAGCAUAUUCCCAAGGUCUGUAAGAUCUCUGGGCCUUCCUGAAGGUUCUCAAUAGGUGCCAUUGGUUUCUCUAGGGGCUCGCUGAGUUUGAGAACCAUUCUCAGAAUCCCCUUCUCUUUAAGGGUCUUUUACACCUUCUCUAUGAGGCUCAGUGCUAUUCUUGGGAUCUCAGUGAUGCUCACUGCUUCUCUCAGCCUCAGAGCUAGUCUCUGAAUCUUUCCCAAGCAAAUAGUAGGUUCAGGAUCUUUCAGAGUUUCUCAUUGAAUCCCAGGGAUUUGCCCAGGGUCUCUGUGGAGCUGAGUGCCAUUUCCAGCAUCACAGUUGUGCUCAGCUGUUCUCCAGGAUUUGAUUUUAUGUCAGGACUUUCCCAAGAGUAGCAGUGAGAACUAGGGUUUUCCUUUCUAUUUCAGCAGGUUUAAGGACUCUUCAAAAUAUCUAGUUGUGCUUAGAUUCUUCUACAGUAUUCUAGAUAACUAAUGGCUUUCAUUAAUGACUCAAUGGGGAUUAGUGUCUUGCCAGUGUGUCAUUGAACUUAUGGGACAUUCCCAUUGUCACAGUGGUGGUCAGGACCUUCCACAUUGUGUCCUUUGUCCUCAGAGCCACCACAGGUUUCUGAGAAUAAGCUCAGGGCUGUCUCCAUCUGCUUUGAACUCUGAAGUAUUCUGCAUCAGGGUUAUUUAGGCCCUUGUCUGUCAGGUCUGUCUGCUGGAGAACACUUCACCCAUGACAUCAGUGAAGUUGUAAUAGGUUGUCCUUUUCUGAUAGGCAGCAGAAUUGCUGGGUUUAGAGCCUAUACAACUUCAAUGUGGAUUUGUGGAUUUUCACAGAACAUGCCCUGGUAUUUGACCAUUCUUUCAUUAUCAAGCCAAUAUUAUCCUUUGAACUUUUAUAAUGUCAGAAUUAAUGAGGAACACAGAUACCUAAUUCUUGUUUCAUAGCUUCCAACACCAGAAGGGCCAUGAUUGAAAGGGCCCAUAAGCAAGGAGGCCAGCCUUGGGCUACAUACAGAUUCCAGCUGUUUAGAUAGAUAGGCCACUGGAUGUGCCAUGUUCCCAACAUUUCAGAAAGACUCGUACAGCUAUUCCAUUUCAUUCAUAGACAUACAGGAAGAAGACUUUGUGAGAUCAGGGAGUCCUAGUUCAGGUGCAUUGGUGAGUGCUUCUUAAGUGUCUCAAAGGCCUUUUGUUUUGUUGGUCCACCAAAUAGCAGAUUCUGUUUUUUCCUUUGUGUGCCUUCAUAGAGAGGUUUUGCCUUAACUGAAAAGUUGGGGAUCCAUACACAGCCUAAUUAAACAGCACCAAAGAUCUCUGAUUUGGCAGCAGGUUGAAGGGACUGGAAUUGAGCAGGUCACCUGUUUCCUCUUGUAGCCUAGUUGCAAGUGACUCUGAGUCAAACAGAAACCAAGGUAUUUGACUUUUUCUUGACAGAUCUGGGCUUUCUUUUUUGAAACUUUGCAAUGAGCCUUAAGUAGGAGAGUGAGAAGCCGCUGUGUUCCUUUUAUGCCAUCUUCUCUGGUUGUUAUCCCAGUAUUUCAAUUUAGCAGGCCAUGUAGUAGUCAUGGACUGCUAAGUUGAAAUGCUGGGAUAAGGGGAAAGGAUGAUGAGUUUGUUUCCUGGGGCCAUCUUAAUUGUGGUUUCUUCCUUUGAAAGUGGGCCCACAGUUUGGGUCACAACCAAAUGGUGAGCCCCAGUGUCCACCAUAAAUUUUAAAGGUUGGUCCCCUAUAAGUGUUGGGACCAUAGGUUUCUGGGUGCCCAAAGAGAUGGAGCCCAGUCAGUCCUAGUCCUCAUCAUAAUUUUCCAAGUCUUCAAAUCCCACAAACUUUUCUCAUGAGCAUCAUAGGGGUGUCUUUGUCAUUGAGCAUCAUGAGGGACACAUUUGUAGGGCUGGUAUUAUCCAUGAAGGACUUGUCCUCACUUAUCCUGGUAAGGAGUAGUAAGAACCCAGUUGACUUUCUUCAGUGUGGGGCAUUCAUUUUUCCAGUGUCCCUCUGGCAGUGGGUGCAUUGGUUUAGUCUCAGCCUAGUCUCCAGGUGAGGAGGUUGGUCCAGACCAUCCUCCAGCCCUGCAUCUGGUUCUGAUUCUGAUAUUUGUUUUGGCUUUGUCCUGGUGGGAACCCCUUUGGGUGACUUCUGGGUCUGUAGUAAGGGCAGCUGCAAGGAAAAACCAUCUUCUUCAUCUUUCAGUCUGCUUCUUGCUGGGUCUCUUGGUCUUGAUUGACAAACACUGUGGUGGCCACUUCAAACAGCUCACUGGCAUUAUUCCCAGCAAAACUCUCUAGUGUUUUGUAGUUUUAGUGACUCUCACUCUUGGUCUGUCCCACAAUGGUUGUGUUGUCCAUCUGCUGGUUGUCUGGUGCCUCAGGAUCAAAGGGAGUAAAAAGUCAGAGGCUUCACAAGGUUGUUCAUAGAACUGGCUGGGGAUUUCAUGAGGAUUUUGGAGAACUUCUGACAUCUUGUUCAUGUUUAGAGCUCUCCUUCCCUUCUUUGAAGUCCUAUGAGGGGUUGGUGAUAUAUCUAUAUCUUUUGGAGGUCUGUGUCUUUUCUGGGGUCCCACCCUGAGUCUCUGUUGGGGAACUGGGCAUGGGCAUAAACUUGGAUGUUGCCUUGUGCAUCUGGGACAUAUUUCUCUAGCCAUUUUAAAGUACAUGGGUCACACAUUUGCCCACAUCUAUAUUGAAUAAAGUAAGAAGUAGCUGGCAGCAGUUCCCCCAGUGUUUCAGUCAGCUGGUGUGACUAAAAAAAUCUGACCAGAACGAUUUUUAAAAAGGAAAAGUUUAUUUGAGGGCUCACAGUUUCAGAUGUCCUAGUCCAUAGAAGGCUGAGUUCAUUCCUUGGGGCUCCAGUUGAGGCAGAACUUCAUGGCAGAAGAAUGUGGCAGAGGGACACAGCUCACGUAUUGAUCAGUAAGCAGAGAGAGAGAGAUUCCACUUGUGAGAUACAAAUACAUAUCUAAAACCACACCUCAAUUCCCACCCCCUCCAGCCACACCCUACCACUUUAGUUAUGACUCAGUUAAUCUGUAUUAGAUGAUUAAAUAAUUAAUUGGAUUCAGACUGUUACACCCAACUAUUUUCCUCUGAAUCUUCUUGCAUUAUCUAACAUGUGAGCUUUGGGGGGACACCUUACAUUCAAACCAUAUCAAGCAGGUAGAUUAGUGGGUCUGGAUAAUGAAUUGCAUCAUAUUAAUCAUGGUCUGAGUUUUCUCUGUGUAGCAGGUAGUAUGAUAUUUCCAAUUUUAGAGAUAAUUUAGGUGAAAGCCUGAUACUUAAAAAUGCUUUGGGCCCCUCAGAUGAUUUCCUCCUGGUCAACAUAGGCAGGCCUUCUAGUCUCCCAUAGGGGCAUCUAGAGAGCUCUAAGUUUGGUUGUGGCUCUGGUCUUAGGAUGGGUUCCCAUCUUGGUCUUGCAAGGUGGAGGAGGAAUCAUUUUCCUUGGGGAAGCCUCUGGCCUUAAGUACCUUAUAGAGGAGGAGGAGCUGGCCAUAUUCUGCAGUUUCUAGAAAUGAGGGAACCAAAGGUCCUGCACAUUCUCAAUGGUCUUGGCAAUAUUUGCUAGAGUGGCAUGUAAGGAGGUGGGUUCUCUUCUGACUCACUGGACAAAAUAGGUUCUUGUUCUGCAAUUGCUUUGUAAGUUUUUCUCUGUCUAGUUGCCUUUUGGGGGUGUCUUAGAGGCUGGUAUAAUCUGAGCUAACAUCAAUUUGGAUUGUCCAUCUAGACAGGCUCUCAACCAAGGAAGGUGUUUCUAGACUAUCUCUUUCCAGCAAUCAAGGGAACUAUUCUGGGUAUCCAGGGAUUCCAACAACUAUUAAAAAGACUUCAGCAAUGAGAGUUUUAAUUAAAGAUCCUCCUGGUGGCCGCACCUAAUCUUAGCCAUUCUAAUUCACAGAGAGUACACAAAUUUGUUGAGUAAACUUCACUCCAUAGUCUCUCCUAAAACCUUUAUUAAGGUUUCACAACAGAUAUUCCAAGGGCUUUAAGGGAUUUAGUUACUUUGUGUGCCUCCCAUAUUCCACCCUGCAUCAGUGUCACAUACUUCUGACAAGAAUCACAUAGUCCAUCUCCAGCCUUUCUCCUCUUAGGACUUGGAGUCCUCUCAGCCUUGUCGGUCCAUGUCAACCCCCAACCUGGAACUUCCACCUAGAUGUUGGUUGGUGCAAUUCUGUCACAGACUGUAUGAGGUUCCAUGGAACCAUGAAUUGGAACUCAGCACUCACUUUGUACUCAGGCUGGGUCUGAAUUCUUCCCUUGUCCAUCUCAUUUACACUUUCACAUAGACAUGGUGUUAUGGGCCAGCCUAUAUGAGCAAUGACCAAACAGACUCCAUUUUAUCCUGAGACUCCAUGUCAUGUAAGAAAUGCUUCUCCCAUGAGAAAAUUCUGCCUCUGCCAUCCUGAUCCUGCUUAGCACACCCUGCUUAGAAAUAUUUUUUUCUUGUUCUUAUAUAAUGUAAACUGGUUUUGGUUUCCAUUUUUUUUUUUUUUUUGGACAGUGUACCCUGUCAGAGAAAUAUUUUCUAGAUGUUAGUAAUCAUUCUUUAACUGGUAAUCAAAGGGGGUCAUUUGACCUUCUUCCCCUUCUGCUUAUGAUUUUAGAUAUUAUGUUAUUUGUUUACUUUGAAUCAUAGCAAGAGCCUCUUAUGAUUAAUAUGGUUUUGGACUAUAGAGCUGUACUCUAACCCUUGGAGGUGGUCAAAGAGUGUAAACUUGCAAUCUUCACCUUAGCCUAUCAGCUGGUAAAUCCAGACUACCAGCUGUUGAAUAAAUAUCCCAUCUCCUGCUUAAGACAGACUCAGUGAUUUAUUGCAAUCUUGCCAUAACAGUGGCCAGAGCAAUAUUUUAAAACCCCAUAUUACACUAACAAAAAGGGAGUCACGGUUUCCCCUAUGCUUGUUGACCCCUGGAUCCUUUUUGGCUCCAAAUCCUUUUGGAGGUUAUUCAGGAUGCUCAAAUGUUGACCAAGCCUCUCUUCCACCUACGUGGGCCUCUUGGUUGAAGUCAGAUGGGAUACAACUGAAGAAUUUGGGACCCUACCUGUUUGGUCAGGUGGUGCUCCAUGUUCCCUAUUCCUGGAUCCUUCUCCUCAUGGGUUCUGUUGUGGUUCAAAGUGGCAGCUCUGAGAUGUCAGGUGAGUCAUUCCUCCUUCAGUAGAGUUGCCUCUGUGGUGUGCUAAGGGGAAGCAAUGUCCUCCAACAUCCCAGACUCCAGAGACAAGAGAGGCAACUUCACCAUUUCCAUCCCAUGUGGAUUGCCAAAUGAUGCAGGACAGAUGAGGCUACACACCUGAGGAAUUGGCAGAAUGAAGGUUUAUUGGCAACAGCUGUUCAAAGUGUGGCUAUAUCCUAAAAUUUCCUCCACUGAACCAUUAGUCUAGAAACUCUUUGAACUUUAUACCCACUGGGAGGAGGGGCUUGGAUUUCUACUUUUGCUGGAGUCUACCUAAAAGUAUCUUAUUUCUUUGAGUUCAUAGAGAGUACUUUUUUCUAACUCUUCUUCUUUUUUUUUUUUUUUUUAGAGUGGUCUGAGGUUAUAUGGUUUACCACAAAAGCAGAAUUAACAUUACAAAGCUUUUUUUUUUUUUUUUUCCAAACUUAGCUUUUACAAGACAGAGUAACAGGACAUAGGAAGUCUAACCACAUUGGGGCUUUUUUUUUUUUUUUGGCAGGAAUUUAUUCUGGUAUUCUGUUAUUAAGAAUACAUAUGUUGAAGGUACCUGGAGAGGCUUAAUUAAGGUUCAUUGGUGGAGGAGGGGGCACCACUACACUCUGGGACUUCACAGGGUUUCAAUAGGUCAUAUUGAUUUUUCCUGGGGCCCAUGCAGUUUCAGAGCCAUCCUCAGAGUCCUGUUUGUCUUCAGGAUCUUUUACAUGUUCUCCAUGAGUCUCAGUGCUGUUCUCAGAGUGUCAGUUGCUCAGUGCUUUGUCCAGCCUCAGUGUAAGGCUCUGAAUCUUCCCAAAGGAAUCACUAGGUUCAGGCUCUUUGGGGCUUUUUUAAUAAAUCCCAGGGCCUUUCCCAGGGCCUCUGUGGAGCUAAAGUGCCAUUGCCAGCAUCACAGUGGUGCUUAGCAUCUUCCCCAGAGGUUGCCUGUGUGUCAGGGCCUUCCCAAGAGUCUUAGUAAGGCCUAGGGCCUACCCUACUGAUUCAGUGGCUUAAAGAACUCUGCACACUCUGUAGUGGUACUUAGAUUCUUCCACAGUUUCCUGGGUAAAGAAUGGCCUUCACCAGUGUCUCAGUGGGGAAUAAUUCCUUGCGCAGUGUGACAUUAAAAUUCAGGGAAAUUCCUCUUGUCACUGUGGUGCUCCGGGCCUUCUGCAGUGUCAGUGGAUUUCAGGGUCACCACAUGUUUCUUAGUGUAAGCUCAGGGCUUUUUCUAGAGUCUCGGUUUGGCUUAGUGCUUACCCCAAUGGGUUACAGGGGCUCAGGGAAUCUUUCAGUUUUUUUUGUUUGUUUGUUUUUGUUUUUGUUUUGUUUUGUUUUGUUUUUUUGUCCCUGGGUCUUCCAUGAAGCUAAAGGCCUUCAAUAGCCUCUCAGUGGGGUUUGUGGACUUCUUUAGCAUCUAAGUUCAGUUGUUUUAGUCAUCUUUUUUGUUGGUUUAAUGUAAGAACCUGAAUAAAACAACUGUGGAGGAGGAAAAGAUUAUUUGAAGGCGCAGAGUUUUAGAGGUCUUGGUGCACAGAAGACUGGCUCCACUCCUCAGGGCUCGAGGUGAAGCAGAAAAUCAUGAUGGAAGAGUAAAGCAGCUCACAGGAUGAAUAGGAAGGAGAGAGCAGGAACUCUACUCAUAAGAUAUAAAAUAUAUACCCCAGGCUGGGGCUGUAGCUCAGUGGCAGAGUGCUUGCCUUGCACACAUGAGGUACUGAGCUCGACCCUUAGCACCAUAUAAAAAUAAAUAAAAUAAAGACAUGCUGUCCAUCUAUAACUACAAAAAUAAAAUAAAAUAAAAUAUAUACCCCAAAGAAAUGCCCCCAAAGUUCUACCUCUCCAGUCAUACCUUACCAGCCUUCAGUUAUCACUCAGUUAAUUCCUUAUUGAAUUAAUGCUCUUAGGACCCAAUCAUUUUUUUCUCUGAACCUUUUUGAAUUGUCUCCCAUGUGAGCUUUUGGGAAACACCUCAUAUCCUAAACAUCACAUUCCACACCUGUCCCCCAAAAGCUCACAACCAUCUCACAAUGCAAAGUACAUUUUGUCCAUUCCCAAGAGUUUCUAUGGUCUCAACAGUUCCAAGACUGCUCAGAGUUCAAGUCCAAAGUCUUCUCUGAGGCUCAAUGCAAUUUUUCAUUGUGAUAAAAUGAAAAGCAAUUUACUAUUACCCAAUAUAUAAUGGGUACAAAGUAAACAUUUCAUUCACAAAAUUAGGGGCAUAGAAAGAAGGGAUAGGAUCAGAGCAAGACCAAAAUCCAGCUGGUCAAACAGGUCCUGUAGUUCUGUGUCCACAUCUGAAACACAUGGCAUCAUGAUGUUCUUCCCAAAGGUCUUGUGUAUCCCUACCCCUGUGGCCUUGUUGCUUGUAGCCCAAGUGGUUGUUUUGGGCUUGUCUCUGCUCAAUUCCUGCAGCUUUCCAAGAAUGAUGUCCCAUGUUACUGGCAUUUCUUAAUGAGGAGGGUUUGUCUCCACUGCAGCUUCAGUUUCCUCCUCAUAACUGCAGACUUUGACUUCUCAGGUGCCCACAGGGACUCCAAUCCUGUUGCACUUUGUCUGGUUUCCCAGGCCUUCCUUUGAAACCAAGGAAGAACCCUCCAUAAAUCCCUAACUCCAGCAUCCUACAUUCAUGCAGAACAAGAACCUCAUGAUUGGUCCCAAGGCCUGCCACCAUGUUGAGCAAUAACCAAGAUUCUAGGGACCCUGGCUUCAGCAGCCUCUGAGUGUUUGGGUAGUGGAGCCUGUAGAAAACAUUUUCUAGCCCCCCUUGGGUUAGAAGGUUUCCCCUCUAGUCUCUUGUUAAGAAAAUUCUCACCUUGAGAUGAGUGUAGACUUGCCAGAUUUUGAGAAGUCCUUAAGCCACCUUUCUUAUUGUCUCUGUUCAAAGUCUUUAGCAUUUUUGUAGGGGUGGUAAUGACUUUAACAACUGCAACAUCCUUAGGCUUAGUUUUAUGAACUUUCAAGUUGAUUUUUUCCAAAUAUUUCUGCUCUGCUUUCUGCUCCUGAAUAUUACAAUAAAUUUGGCUAAAAGGUGCCAGCAAUGUCUCUGUCAUUGUCUGAAUGCUACGCUGCCUAGAUAUUUCUUCAAUCACAUAAGGAAGUCAUUUUUGGGGCUAGGAUUGUGGCUCAGUGGCAGAGCAUUCACCUAGCAUGUGUGAGGCACUGGAUUCAAUCCUCAGCACCACAUCAAUAAUUAAGAAAGAAAGGAAGGAAGGAAGGAAGGAAGGAAGGAAGGAAGGAAGGAAGGAACAAAGAAAGAAUUGUGUUCAUCUACAACUAAAAACAAACAAACAAACAAACAGAAAGUCCAUCACUUCUAAAAUCGGCCCCAUUGAAAGUCUCAGGGCCUGGGCAAAAUGCAAACACUUCUCAGCCAGAACAUAACAAGAAUGACCUCAAUUCUAAAUUCCAGUAAAGUCCUCCAUUUCUAAACCUUCUUGAGCUUGGUCUUUACUGACCUGUGUACUGUUGCCAAUUGGUCUUCUGAGCUCCCACCAGAAUCAGCCAUUAAUCUCUGCUUACAACAAUCUAAAGCAUUUCCAUCUGCACUGCUACACAUCUCAAAAUUCCUCCCACCAAUUCCAAAAUGCUCAAAAUGCUUAUUAAACAUGAGUUUAAUAAGUACUUAGUCACAAAAAUUACUCACUUCUUGGUACAAUAUCUCUUUUACUCAGCUUUUUGCACUCCUGUGACUAAAAUAACCCACAAGAACAAUCACAGGGGAGGAAAAGUUUAUUUGGGGGCUCAUGGUUUCAGACAUCUUAGUCCAUACAAAGCUAGCUCCAUACCUGAGAGCUUAAGGCAAGGCAGGACAUCAUGGUUGUUAGGAUGGCCUUAGGCCUGAGCCUAAGCAACACCAUUUUAAAAAUUCCUGUUUAAAACCUGCAGUUUCACCAGACACACACACAGAGCCCUUCAGUGUGGCCACAAACAAGUUACAUACCCUCACCAUGAUAAACAGAGUGAAGCCCCUGGCAGGCUGUCUUCACCUGAUAAGAGAAAAAGUGGAGAAGAUCAGGGUCAGAUGUUUCUGACCCCAGGUAAAUGAUGUCACUGAGAAAUCUGGUGGUAGCUGAUAAGGAUUGAAAGGGGGUCAAAACCUCAAAAUUUAGUAUAAAUAAUAGAGCAAAUGAACAGGGAUUCAGCCAGCUGAAACAAGGAUGCACUCAAGCUGGAGAGCCUGAUGAGGACCUGACAUCCCAUCACUUGUCAUCAUUUCCUGAGCCUCUGUGUAAUCCUCACCACUCUCAAACUCUACCACCUUGUUUGGACCUUGGUGAGAGACACAACUUCUCCCUAUGACCCUCUCCUCAACCAGUCAUCCACUCCAUGCCAGGAAACAGCCUGCCUUGGUUCCGGACCUGAUCACCGUGGUCUGAGUGAGAGUGCAUCUGCUGGACCUAAAGCCUAAGGCUUGCAGAUGAAAUGUCUGUCAUUAGACCAUCAUGAUUAAGUGUGUUUUUGCAGUGCUAUAAUUAAUCUAGAAUUGUUUGCUGUGAAUUAAUUAAUCUAGAAUUGUUUACUGGGAAUUGAUUAUGUCCAUUGCAGUGCCUAGCAUUAAGGAUUGUAAUUUUCUUGAUUAAAAACCUAUAAAAUGGAAUUUUAUUGAGUAUUUUGAGUGAAUAAAGCAUUGAAAGGGGCAGAAUAGUGUGGACAUUCUUAUUUCUCCCCUCGACUGCAUACAUCACAAUUUUGUCUCCUCGUGACAAUGGUAAAAGAGUGUGUCAGAGGGAAGAAACACACAUGGCCAAUGUAAAGCAGAAGAUAACUCCAUUCACCAGAUACAAAAUAUAUAUCAGAAUGCCAUGCCCCAAAAGUCCCAACUCCUCCUGACACACCUCAACAGCCUUCAGUGACCAUUCAGUUAAUUCAAAUGAGGGGACUGAACAACUGAGUAUAUUAAGGCUCUUAAGACACAAUAAUUUCUCCUCUGAACCUUCUUGCAUUGUCUCAUGUGUAAAGAUUUGGAGUACACCUUAUAUUAAAACUAUAACAAGACUUGUGGACCUUUCCCAGGGUCUCCUUGUAUCUCAGAGAUUUUUGAGAUCAACAAUGAAGCUCAUUGCUUUCUCAUGUUCAUUAGUGGUCCUCAGUGCCUUCCACAGAACCUCCAGAGUACUAAGGAUACACGGAAAUUCAGUGUGACUCAGAGCAAUGUCUCUAGGCAUUCAGGGUCUUCACAGGUAUCUAAUUUGGGUGCAAGACUCUUCCCAGUGUAUCAUUGGGAUUGAAAGAAUUUGCAGAUCUCUAAAGAGCCUCACAGCAUUUCAUACUGAUUCAGUGGAGUGUGGUGCCUUGCCCAGGGCAUCAGUGUGUUUCAUAGUCUCCUCCACUUUCACAGUCAUGCUCAGGAUGUUUUCCCCAUAGUCUUAAUGUUAUCUUUCUUUUCCUUGGGUAUUCAGGUGUGAUCUUAGACAUUCCUAGCAUUUCAGUGUGGUUCACUGAAAAAGAGACAGAAGCCCUGCUUAGGGCCUCUGGGGAUCUCAUGGCCAUUACCAGGCUCUCAGUGUUUCUCAGGGCCUUUUACAGUGUCUAAGUCAUAUUAAGUGCUAUUCCCAGGGUGUCAUCUGGAAUUAAGUAGUUCCUCAAGGGUACCGUGUUCAGGGUUUCUGCCAGGGUCUCAGAAAAUCUCAGCACCUUUACUAGGUUCUCAGUAGAGUUCAGUGUCAUUCCCAGGGUCACAGGGUUGCUCAGUCCAGUUCAGAAACUUUUUGAGUCUCAGGGCAUUUCCCAGGGUCACAGUGGUGCACAGAAACUUCUCCAGAGUGUGAGGGGUGUCAUUUUCUUUCCAGGCUCUCAGUGAAGCUAUAAUCUUCCUAGGUUACAAUGAUGCUAAGUGCCUUCCCCAGAGUCUUAGUGAUCCUGAGGACCUUCUUCAGGGUAUCAGAGGAGUUCAGGGUCUUUCCCAGUGCCAAUGGAACCCAGGGCCUACCCUAGAGUUUCAGGAGGACUCAAUGUGUUCUCCAGAAUUUCAAUCUUGUUUGAGAGGUCCACAUGGAUUUCAUGGUGCUCAGAUUUUUUUUCCCAGUGUUUAGAAAGUCUAAGGUCUCAACAAGAUUCACAGAGUUGUCAAAUUCAUUCAUGGUUGUCUCAAUGAUGUUCAAAAUUUUCCUCAAUGUCUUUAGAAGGCAAAGAGCCAUUCUUAGGUUGACAGAUGUAUUCACAACCUCCCCAAGAGUCUUAGUGGUCUCAUUGCCUUCCCAGGCUCUCAGUGCAGCUCAGCAACCUUCCGAUGGUCACCAUGUGCUCAGGGCAUUAGUGAGGGUCUCAGUAGUUCUCCUCACAUUUUCCAGGGCUCACUGAGUUUCAGAGCCAUCCCCAGAGUCUCCUUUUCUUUCCUGUAUGUUUACAGGUUCUCCAUGAGGCUCAGUGCUAGUCUCAGAGUCUCAGUGAUAUUCAGUGCUUCUUCCAACCUCAGAAUGAGGUUCUGGGUGUUCUCCAAGGUUUAGGGCCAUUCAGGGUUUCUCAACAAAGUCCAGAGCACUACCCAAGGUCUUUGUGAAGCUGAGUGUCAUUUCCAGCAUCACAGUGGUGCUCAUCAUCUUCCCAAGAGUUUGAUUAAUUGUGUCAGAGCAUUUCUAAGUGUCAUGGUGAGGCCUAGGAUCUACCCUCUUCUUUCAGCACAUUUACAAACUGUACACAAUAUAUAGUGGUGCUUAGACUCUUCCCCAGUAUUCUGGAAACAUAAUGGCUCUUACUAGUGUCUCCAAGGGGAAUAGUGCCUUGCCCAGUGUGUUAUUGUAACAGAUAAAUAUUUCCAUUGUCACAGUUGUGCUCGGUUCCCUCCCCACUGUGUCAGUGGCAUUUGGGCAACUCCAUUUUUCUGAGUGUAAGCUCAGAGUUUUCUUCAAAGUUUAGCUCUGACUCAGUGCUUUCCUCAGUGACUUACUGGGUUCAGAGAAUUCUCUAGGGGUGUUUUGUUUGUUUUGAGUUAUCAGGUAUAAUUGGUUUUCAGAUUUUCCCCAAGAACUUCUAUGUGCCUAAAGACCUGAAAUAGCUUCUCAGUGGGUUUUGUGACUUCCACCAGGGUCUAAGUGGGUUUGAGGACCUUUCCCAGGAUAUCAUUGUGUCUCAGUGCUUUUCAGACUCAACAAGGAAGCUCAUGGCUCUCUUCUGUUCCUUACUGGGCCUCAAUGCCUUCCACAGUAUAUCAGUAGUUCUUUUAAUCCUCUCCAGAUUCUCAGUCAGACAAAAGGCUAUCCAUGGUAUUUCAAGGGUGUUCACAUGUUUUUUUAACAAGUGUGUGUUUUAAAGGCCUUCAAAAGUGUGUCUUAGAAUUCAGCCAUUCACUGGUGUCUAAAUGGGAUUUAGGGGUUUUCCCAGUGAAUCACUGGAAUUUAGAACUUCUCCAGGUCAGUAUGAAUCCCAUGGCCUUUCAUGUGCAUUCAAUGGAGUGUGAUUCUUUCCUUGCCCAGAAUCUCAAUGAGUUUUAUGGUCUCCUCAAUUCUCAUAGUCCUGUUCAGGGUGGUCUCCCAGAGUCUCAGUGUUCUCCUUCCAUUCCUCAGGCAUUCAGUGGAUCUCUUGAACAUUCCCUGAAUCUCAAUGUGGUUCAGGAUGUUCCCCAAAAUUUCAUAGAGCCAAAAGCAUUGCCCAAAUCCUCAGUGGAACUCACUACCAUUACCAGCUCCUCAGGUUUUCUCAGAAUAUUUUGCAGUGUCUCAAUCAUGUUCAGUGCUAUUACCCAGAGUCUCACCUCGGCUUAAAUAUUUCCCCAAAGGUAGACUGGGUUCAGUGUCAGUAAAUCUCAGCCCCUUUUCCAGGCUCUCAGUGGAGUUCAUUGCCAUUCCCAGGGUCACAGUUGUUCCCAAGGCCUUCUUCACAGUCAUAAUGGUGUCAUUGCCUUUCCAAGCAGUCAAUGAAGCUAUAGUUUUCCUAGGUUACACUGGUGACCAUGGUGUACCCCAUUGUCUACCUGACACUCAGCGCCUUCUUCAUGAUAUCAGAGGAGCUCAGGGGCUUUUGUUUUUGUUUAGUUUUGUUUUUGUCAGUGUGUCUCAUGACCUAUUCUAUGGUCUGAGGAGGGCUCAAGGCCUUCCUCAGAAUUUCAGUCAUGUUUAGAAACCUCCACAUGUUCUUCAUGGUGCCCAGAUUAUUGCCCACUGCUGAGAAUGGGCUGAUGGCCUCAAUAAAUGUCUCAGUGUUUUAAUCACUGUUUGCUCAGUGGUGUUCAAAAUUUCUUCAGAGUCUUAAGAAUGCUAAAGGCCUUCCGUAGGUUGACAGUUGUAUUCACAGCCUUCCUAGGUUUCUUUGUGCUCUCAUGACUUUCACAGGGUGUAAGUGCAGAUGAGAACCAUUCCCAUGAUCACCUUGUGCUCAGGUUCUUUUCUGGGGUCUUAAUAGGUCUCAUUGCCUUUUCUAGACCUCCCUGGACUUUAGAGCCAUCCCCAGUGUCUCCUUUUUUUCUUGAUUUUAUUGACUUUCCCCAUAGGUUCAGUGCUAUUUUCAGAAUAUCAGUUGAUGUUCAGUGUUUCUUCCAGAAUCAGAGUGACACUGAAUCUUCCCAGUGGAAACAUUGGGUUCAGGGCCUUUCAACAAUUUUUACUGUAUCCCGGGGAUUUUUUCUGUGUCUCUGUGGAGCUAAGUGCCAUUCCCAGCAUCACAAUGGUGCUCAAUAUAUUCUUGGUGUUUAAUUGAGUGUUAGAGACUUCCCAAGUAUCAUAGUGAGGCCUGGGGCCUACCCUGACCUUUCAGGGGGUUUUAGGAUGUUUAACAAUAUCUAGUAAUGCUUAGAUUUUUCCCAAAUUUCUUGGAAAAUAUUGGCUGUCACUAGUGUCUCAAUGGGGAUUAGUUCCUUGCCUAGUGUGUCAUUGAAACUCAGAGAUAUUGACAUUAUCAUAGUGUUGCUCAGGGCCUAUCCACUCUCUCGUGGUACGCAGGGCUACUCCAUGUUUCUUAGUGUAAACUCAGGGCUUUGUCUGGAGUCUCAGUCUGACUCAGUGUUCACUUCAAUAGCUUAUCAGACCUCAGAAUAUUUUCUAGGCUUUUGUUGUUGUUGUUGUUGUUUUGAGGUCUCAGGUAUGAUUUGGUCUUAGAUUUUCCCCCAGUUCUUCUGUGAGAGUAAAAGCCCUUAGUAGCUUGUCAGUGGGUUUUUGGGAUUCCACCAACUCUAAAUGUGUUUGUGGACCUUUCCCACUUCCUGAAUUAUGCAGUGCAAGUGACUUCAGUCUUACCUUGGUGGAAAAGGCUGCUCUUGUAGCUUCAGAAAUAGGUAUGAUCCACUGGGCCUGGACAGUCCACCUUCUACCUUAUUUGGCAGAAGAAUAUUGUAUGGAAAAUCUUUGAAGUUUCUCCAUAUAUAAUAAAGCAAAUUUGGGCUCUCUCUUCCCAGUGUGGGAGCAUGAUUUGUAAGGUCAAAGAGCCGUCCCACCCCUGCUUUUCAAAAUCACUUUCUGUGUAGUGUGGUUUUUCUGCUGCCUUCUUUUCUUGGCUGUAUUUCACAGCUAGACUGCUUUAUGCAAAAAAAAAAAAAAAAAAAAAAAACCAAAUUCCACCACUUGUGCAGGAUGUUGUGGGGAGCUACUCCAAAUGCAUGCACCUUUAAGUCCUGAUGCACCACAGGGAUCUGAAUGAUUACUGUAGUCUGGCAUGGUAGCACCAUGGCUCAUGACUGGGUCUUAUUGUGGGCUGAAUUGUAGAAGAUAAGUGAAUUAGAAGAAAAAUCUGUAACAUUAUACUUUUAAUAUUUGGGAAUAUUUUGCCUUUAGAAAGAGAAAAAAAUAAUUUUUUACAAUUCUGGAGACUCUAAAUAAAUAUAAAGAAUUAUUAAGAUGACUAAUGGGAUAUGUUGUUAAGUUCAGUCUUCUCCCAUGGGAAAAGUGCCUCUGUGGACUUUUUUGAAUUGUUUUUAUGAAUCUUUAUAUUGUAAAAUAUUAGGUAAAGUUUUUUGUUGUUUUUUUUUUUUUGGGGGGGGGGUUAUGAACUAGAAGUCUGUGCUUGGAUAGUGAGAAAAAGGAAAGAAGGAAUUUGUUAUGAGACUUCAUACAAGGAUUCUUUACCUGUAGAGAAGUGAAUUUUAUUUUUCUAUUGUUUUUGUGAAUACUCAGAAAGUUUAUGCUGGACCUCUUUGCUACAUUCUUGAUCUACCAUAUCAGAAUUGCCACUAUUCUAUAAUGGGGUCUGUAACUAGACCUACCACCAGCAGUGCUUUUAACCCUUAAACUACCUGAUCUAGGUGCCAAAUGAUAGUAACACUGAUAGUAGCAAAUCUGAUAGUAACACUGGCAUCUGCUGUUAAAACACACAUUUUAAAGUCCCACAUGGUGCAAGGGAAAAUACAAAAGACAGAAGAACAUCAGCUAAAAGCAAGCACAGGGAGCAGAGAUAAGGCAAGCUGCCUCCCACCCUAGGAUCCUCCCCAGCUGCAGAAAAUACAAACAAAUCAAAUGGAAUGCAAGUGGCUAGGGAAGCUCAGAGAGCCUUUGCCCCAGACAAUGAGCAGCUGGUCCCUGCUGUUUCCAUCACCAAGGUAACAACAGGAAGCCUGGAAGGCCCAACCUGAUUUCCUGGUCCUGCCUCCUGAAUUUUCCCGGCUUCCCAUUGGUCCUUUCACUGUCACUCAGAAAGGACUUCUGGUCCCACUUUCCAGCCACUAAUCUGUACUUCCUGUUUUAUCCCUGCUACCAGGAGCUGCAUUUUUAAAAAUAUCCACCUAAAAAUACUAAUGAAAGAUCUUUUUCAGGCAAAAUUUAACUCCACAGGCUUCUACAUUGCAUCGCUGAGCCUAACUUUUUCAAAGUUUCUAAGGUACAAUAAUCUGUUAGAUUCUAAGGUUUUCAACUAUUGUUCCAAAGAAAAACCAGGAAGAAUUCUAAAAGAAAAAGAAGAUACUUCAACAGAGAGGAAGCACACAUUGGGGGUCCUAAGAGGAAGAAAUGAAUCAUCCCUUUGGGUAAAACAAGGUCUUUGUAUUCUGGAUUUUAAUGAUAAAAGUAUUUUCCUAAAAAAGAAAAUCUGUAUAUCAUUAUGUAGACAGAUGAUAUAGAAAGUUAAAACAAUUGAAAAAGAGAUUUAUAUGUACUGGACUGUCUAUAAAAAUUUUAACUUACUCAAGAGUAUUUCAGGCUUUUUUUUUGAUUUUACUAUGCUGAUGUGAGCUAAGAUUUUGUCCAUAUUUUGACACAACAAAGACCUACUAAAAUGUUAAGUGUAUUUUCUUUAAGGAAGGUUUUUAUUGCCUAAUGAUUCUUAUUGUUACAGCAAGGAUUAAUUUUAAUAAAUAAAUUCACAUCCUUGAUUAAACACUAAAUAUAUUAAAGUACUGACUUAGAUUCUAAAUUUGACAAUUAUCCUUUGAGACUAAAUUUUAUUGAUUCAAAGACACUGCUGAAAUUUACAAAUUACUUUUUUUUUUUUUUGCUAGAUAGCUGUGAUUUGGGAGAACAUUGAUCUUCUCCAAAUUAAAGUCAUACAUUGCUUUUGAGCAAUAAAGGUUGCAAACUUUUUUGGAAAUUCAUUGGUAUUAUAUAGUUCUUUGAUUGGACCUGUUAUUUUAAAAAAUUGUAAGAUUUACAUAAUACUCCCUACACUGGGAAGUAAGCUUAAUCAUAUUUUCUCAAAGACAAUUCAGAGACACCUAUUUAAGGAUGAUAUUCUGAGAUAUAGAGAUAUUUUGGAAACUUCUCUCAAGAAGAGAUUAAGGGCUCCCUAUAAUUUAAAUUACUAAUAUUAUGAUUUAUAACAACCUUUUAAAUAAAGAAAAGGGGAAAAACAGGACCCCACAAGCACACACUAGAUCUUUCAAAUAUUUUUAAAAUUUUUUCUUAAAUUGUAAUAUUAAGACUUUUAUUGUUACUCAACAUAAUUCAGUAAAUUAAAUCAGAUUUCAAAGGGGAGUUGAAACCUCUCAUCAUGAAAAUGACUGAAAAGCCUGAAAUAGUAAGGUAAAUCUCCAAACUGUAGAAUUUAGAGCCAUGCAGUUUCAUGAGCUUAUCAGGAAAGUAAAAAUUAUGAAGAGAUUUUUAUGGACCCAUUUCUCAGGUCCACCUUUACUGUGCCUUGAAGUGUGGAGUGGAAAGUCCACCCAUGAACUAGAUUAAUUGUACUGACUGUAAUAUUCAAUUACUCAUAUAUGUUCAUCUUAUGGUAAACAGACUGUCUGGGAGUAUCUUUUGAGAAAAAGACAGCAUGUAAGAAACGUAAACCAGCCAAUCAUGCUGGGCCUUAAAAGUUAAGACUAUAUUUACUUUUCUGGAUAAUUGUCAGAAAGAUUGUUAAAAUAUAUAUAUUUUUUCUAUACAGGCCAGUUAUUUACAUAAGAUAUCCACCAACAUAUUAUUCUCCUACUCAUUCUACAAUGGGAGUUGACACCUUUCCUAAGUGGAUAGAUUGUGCAAAUGUGUUGCCAGUGUGACAGAAGAUAUCUAGAAAUAAUGGAUAUAUUUUACACUGGUCUCCCAGAAUAGACAAAGCUGAUUAUGCAAGGAUGCCACACACCUGGAAGUUUACUGCCUCUCUUGACUUUCACUUGCUCUCCCAUUUGGGGAGCCUGAGGCAGACAGCAGGGAAACCAUCCUGAAGCUUGGUUAAAGACCCCAAGGUUGCAGGAUCCAUCUUAAAAUCCAAAGAAAAAGAUGUAUUACAACUUUACUACAUAAAGACUCUCUUACCCAGUGGAAGGUUUUUGCUUAGCACCUGGAUGACCAUCUUAAGCAUCAACUGCCAUCUUAAGAAAAAGUUUUGCUUUCCUGCCCAAUGGUAACUGACCAUUUUUUUGUUAUUCAGCCAACAUUAUCCUUUGUUCUCUAAUAAUGUCCAAAUUAGUGAAGUACACAAACACCUAAUUCUUUGUUUUUAUAGCCAGUUUAUUAGCUUCCAACAACAGAAGGGCCAUGGCGGCAAGGACCCAUAAGCAAGGUGGCCAGCCUUGGGCUACAUACAGAGUCCAGCUGUUUAGAUAGAUAGGCCACUGGAUGUGCCAUGUUCCCAGCAUUUCAGUAAACCCCCUACAGCUAUUUCAUACCAUUUAUGGACAUAGAGGAAGAAAAGCUUUGUGAGGUCAGGGAGUCCUAGUCCAGGUGCAUUGGUGAGUGCUUCUUUAGUGUCCUCAAAGUCCUUUUGUUUUGUUGGUCCCUCCAAAGAGCAGAUCCUGUUCUCUCCCUUUUUGGGCCUUCAUAGAGGAGUUUUGCCAUAACUGAAUACUUGGGUAUCUAUACACAGCAGAAUUAAGUGGCACCAAAGAUCUCUGAUUUGACAGUAGGUUGAAGGAACUGGAAUUGAUCAGGUGACCUGUUCCUCUUGUAGCCCAGUUGCUACUGUUUUUGAGUUGGACAGAAACCAAGGUUCUUUACUUUUCUUGACAGAUCUGGGCUUUCUUUUGUGAAACUUUGUAACCAGCCUUACAUAGGAGAGUGAGUAGCAGCUGUGUUCCUCUUUUGCCAUCUUCUCUGGUUGCUCCAGCCAGGAACAGAUCAUCUACAUAUUGAAACAAUGUGCAUCCACAUUGUUUUUCAGGAAAGGCUUUUAAGUCAGAAUCCAGCACCAUCCCAAAAAUGGUUGGUGACUUUUUAAAACCUUGUGGUAAUCUAGUCCAGGUCAAUUGGCCCUUGUUCCCAUUGGAGUCUUCUCAUUGGAAGGCAAAUGGUGGCUGACUCUGUGGUACAAGUUGUGUGCAGAAGAAGGCAUCUUUAAGGUCCAGACAUGUGAAAUAGCCUGCCUCAGCUGGGGGCAGAUUUAGGAGAUUAUGUGGAUUGGGGACCACAGAAUGUAAGCUGACUGUGGCUUGAUUUUUUGCAUGUAAAUGUUGGACUGGCCAAUAAUGAUCAAUUUCUGGUUUUUGGACAGGCAAAAGAGGUGUAAUUCAUGGUAAUGGGUGAGUUCUGACAAUUCCACAUUGAAAAAGUGUGUUCAAAUGUUUUUGAAUUCCAAGUUUUGCCUUAUAAGGAAUGUGAUGUUGUCUUAGGUGACUCAUAUGGCUUCAUGUUCAAAUUUCAUCACCACUGGGAGAAAGUUUUGGGCUAGUCCAGGUGGGCUGGCCUCUGUCCAUACUCCUUAUAUUUGGAAAGGGAUUUGUGGGUCCUGUUAUGAUGUUUCUACUAGGCUGAAGAGGUGCCAUUCCUCUUCUCAGGGAAUUGUGAGGGUUAAAAUAUUUGCUUCAGGUUUUCUCAAUGAUACCAGUGACUGGCCUUUUGCAUCAACAGUUAUCUGGGCUUGGAGUUCUCCUACUAGAUCUCAACCUAUUAAUUGAACUGGGCAAUCUGGCAUGUAUAGAAAUUUGUGGACUACUUUAUGGCCUGCUGAAUUUCAAUGCUGUUGUAACAGGAAAGGAUGAUCUGUUUUGCUUCCUGGGGCCCCCACAAUUGUGGUUUCUUUCUUUGAAAGUUGGCUCACAACCAAAUGGUGAGCCCCAGCAUCCACCAUAUAGUCCAUAGGUUUGUCCCCUAUAAGCAUUUGAAUCAUAGGCUUCUGGGGUCCCAAAACAAUGGAGCCAGUCAGUCUUCAUCCUCAUCAUAAUUUUCCAUGGCGUCCAGGUCCCACAAAAAUUUUUCUCAUGGGCAUCAUAGUAGUAUCUGUGGCAUUGAGCAUCAUGGGGGACACAUUCUUAGGACUGGUAUCCACCUUGAAUGACUUGGCCUCUCUUAUCCUGGUAAGGAGUAGCAGGAACUCAGUUGGCUUUCUUCAAUGUGGGGCAUUCAUUUUUCUAGUGGCCCUCUAGAUGGCACUGGGUGAAUUGGUUUAGUUUCAGCCUAGUCUCUGGGUGAGGAAGUUGAUCCAGACCAUCCUUCUGCCCUGCAUCUGGUUCUUAUUCUAAUAUUUGUUUUGGCUUUGUCCUGGUGGGAACCCCUUUUGGGUGACUUCUGAGUCUGUAGUAAAGGUAGCUGCAAGGAGAAAUCAUCUUCUUCAUCUUUUAGUCUGCUUCUUGCUGGGUCUCUUAGUCUUGAUUGACAAACACUGUGGUGGCCACUUCAAACAGCUCACUGGCAUUCUUUCUAGCAAAACCCUCUAGUGUUUUGUAAUUUGGGUGACUGUCACUCUGUGCCUGUCCCACAAAGCUUGCAUUGACCACCUGCUGGUUGUCUGGUGCCUCUGGACCAAAGAGAGUAGAGUCAGAAGCUUCACAAAGUUGUUCAUAGAACUGGCUGGGGCUUUCAUCAGGAUUUUAGAAUACUUUUGAUACCUUGUUCAUGUUUAGGGCUCAUCUUCUUCUUUUAGGCCUCCUAUGAGGAGUUCUUGAUAUCUCUUUUUCUUUUGAAGGUCUUCAUCUUUGCUAGGCUCCCACCCUGAAACUGUGUUGGGAAACUGGGCCUGGGCAUGGGCUUGAUGUUGCCUUGUGCAUCUGGUGCAUGUUCUUCUAGCCAUUUUAAAGUGCUCGGGUCACCCAUUUGCUCUCCUCUGUAUUGAUAGAGUAAGACAUAGCUGGCAGCAGUUCCCCCAGUGUUUUAGUCAAGUAUUUUGCUGCUUGACUAAAGGAUCUGACCAGAACAAUUUUAAGGGAGAAAAAGUUUAUUUGAAGGGUCACAGUUUCAGAUGUCUUAGUCCAUAGAAGGUGACUCCAUUGCUUGGGGCUCCAGUUGAGGCAGGAUGUCAUGGCAGAAGAAUGUGGUAGAGGGAAACAGCUCACAUGUUUAUCAGGAAGGGGGGGGGGAGAGAGAGAGAGAGAGAGAGAGAGAGAGAGACUCACUCCACUUUCCUGAUACAAAUAUAUAUCUAAAGCCACACCUCAAUUUCCACCUUCUCCAGCCACACCCUACCACUUUAUUAUAACUCAGUUAAUGCGUAUUAGGAGAUUAAAUAAUUAGUUGUGUCAAGACUCUUACAACCCAAUUAUUUCUCCUCUGAACCUUAUUGCAUUGUCUAACAUGUGAGCUUUUGUGGAAUACCUCAUAUCCAAACCUUAACAAGCAGGUAGGUCAGUGGGCCUGGAUAAUGGAUUGUAUCAUAUGAAUCAUGGUCUGAGAUUUCUGUGUGUAGGAGGUAGUAUGAUUUUUCCAAUUUCAGAGAUCUUUGGAGGUAAAAGCCUGAUACUUGGAAAUAUAUUGGGCCCCUCAGAUGAUUUCUUUCUGGUCAACAUAGGCAGGUCCUCAAGUCUCUCACAGGGGCAUUUGAAGAGUUCUCAGCUGGGUUGUGGCUCUGGUCUUAGGAUGGGUUUCCAUCUUGAUCUUGCAAGUUGGAGGAGGAAUCUUUGGCCCUUGCAAAGCCUCUGGUCUUGAGGACCUCAUAGGGGAAGGAGUAACUGGUUUUGAAGAGCCUUAAUCAGCUGUUUCUGGGGAUUUGGGGGCUGAGGUGACUGUCCAUUGUUUCAGUGAUCUUGGAAAUGUUGGAUAGAUUGGACAUAAGGUGGUGGGUUCUCUUCUGCCUCACCAGAUAAAACUGGUUCUUUUUCUGCCUUUUCUUUGUCAUAUUUUCUCUUCUUAGUUUCCUUUUUUGGGUCUUAGAGGCUGCUACCAUCUGAGAUAAACUCAAUUUUGAUUGUCCACCUAGACAGGCUCAACCCCUGGGGUGUUUCUAGACUAUCUCUUGCCAGCAGUCAAGGAAACUAUUCUGAGUGUCCAGGGGUUCCAACAACUAUUAAAAAGACCUCAGCAAUGAUACUUUAAUUAAAGAUCCUUCUGGUGGCCAUCCCACACCAAAGCUUGGCCAUUCUAAUUCACAGAGAGAACACAACUUUGCUGAGUAAAUUUCUGGGGGUAAACUGGCAGUCUUCCCCUUAGCCCAUCAGCUGGUAAAUCCGGAGUGCCAGGUGGUGAAAAAAGGUUUCAUCUCCUGCUUAAGAUACACCCAGUGAUUUAUUGCAAUCUCGCCAUAAUAAUGGUCAGAGCAAAAUUUCAAAACCCUCAAAUUACACAAACAAAAAGGGAGUGACAGUUUCCCUUAUGCUUGCUGACCCCAAACAGAGACUAAUUAAGUGACUCCUUGGAUCCUUUUUGGCUCCACCUCCUUUUGGAGGUUAUUCAGGACUAUCAGGUGUUGAACAAUCCUCUGUUCCCCCAACUAAGUCCUCUUGGGGGAGGUCAGAUUGGCUACCACUGAGGGACCAGGACCUACCUUUUUGGUCAGGUGGUGCUUCUCAUUUCCUAUUUCUGGUUCCUGUUCCUCGUGAAUUCUCUUGUGCUUCAGGGUGGAAGUUCUGAGAUGUCAGGUGAGUUGUUCCUCCUUCAGCCAAAGAGCUGCCUCUGUGGUAUGCUAAGGGGAAACAAUGUCCUCCAACAUCUCAAAAAGCCAGACUUCAGAGAUAAGAGAGGCAACUUCACCAUUACCAUCCCAUUUCGAUUGCCGAAUGUUGCAGGACAGAUGAGGCUGAACACCUGCAGAAUUAGCAUAAAGCAGGUUUAUUGGCUACAGCCAGUUCAGAGUGUGGCUAUAUCCUAAAAUUUCCUCCUCUGAACCAUGAGUCUAGAAAUUCUUUGAACUUUAUACCCACUGGGAGGAGGGAUUUAGAUUUCCACUUUUGCUGGAGUCUACCUAAAAGUAUCUUUUUUGUUUGAAUUAAUUCAUAGAGAGUGCUUUUGUUUUACUUUUUUUUUUUUUUUUUUUUACUUUUGGUUUUAAUUUAGUCAGAGGUUAUAUGCUUUACCACAGAAGCAGAAGUAACAUCAUAAAGUCUGUUGCCAAACUUAGCUUUUACAAGACAAAGUAAUCAGAAAAAUGAAGUCUAAUCACAUUUGGGCUUUUUUGCAGGAAUUUUUCCUGAUAUUCUGUUAAUAAGAACACAUAUGUUGAAGGUACCUGGAGAAGCUUAAUUAAGGUUCAUUGGUAGAGGAGGGGGCACCACUACACUCUGGGACUUCACAGGGUUUCAAUAGGUCUUAUUGAUUUUUCCUGGUGCCCAUGGAAUUUCAGAGCCAGAGUCUUCUUUGUCUUCAGGAUCUUUUACAUGUUCUCCAUGAGGCUCAGUGCUGUUCUCAGAGUGUCAGUUUUGCCCAGUGUUUCUUCCACCCUCAGAGCAAGACUCUGAAUCUUCCCAAAGGAAUCACUGGGUUCAGGAUCUUUGGGGUUUUUCAAUAAAUCCCAGGGCCUUGCCCAGGGCCUCUGUGGAGCUAAGUUUCAUUCCUGGCAUCACAGUCAUGCUUAGCAUCUUCCCCAGAGUUUGUCUGUGUGUCAGGUCCUUCCCAAGAGUCUUAGUGGGGUCUAAGGCCUACCCUACUGAUUCAGUGGCUUAAAGAACUCUGCACACUCUCUAGUGGUACUUAGAUUCUUCCACAGUAUCCUGGGUAAAGAAUUGCCUUCACCAGUGUCUCAGUGGGGAAUAAUUCCUUGCCCAGUGUGCCAUUGAAACUCAGGGAGAUUUCCAUCAUCAUUGUGGUGCUUAGGACCUUUUGCAGUGUCAGUGGCUCUCAGGGUCACUACAUGUUUCUUAGUAUAAGCUCAAGGCUUUCUCCAGAGCCUCAGUGUGGCUCAGUGGUUACCCCAAUGGCUUACAGGGGCUCAGGGAAUCUUUCAGGUUUGUUUUCUUUCCCCCUAGAGCUUCUGUGAGGCUAAAGUUUUCCAACAGCUUUCAGUGGCGUUUGAGGCCUUCUCUAGCGUCUAAGUGGGGUGGUUUUAGUCAGCUUUUUUUGCUGGUUUAUUGUAAGAACUUAAAUAGAAUAACUUUGGAGAAGGAAAAGUUUAUUUGAGGUCUCACAGUUUGAGAUGUCUUAGUGCAUAGAAGACUGGCUCCAUUUCUCAGGGCUUGGGGUGAAGAAGGAAAUCAUGAUGGAAGAGUGUGGCAGAGUAAAGCAGCUCACAUGAUGAACAUGCAGAAGAGAGAGGGAACUCCACUCACAAGAUUCAAUAUCUAUACUCCAAAGUGAUGCCCCCAUGUCCCACCCCUUCCAGUCACACCCUACCAGCCUUCAGUUACCACUCAGAUAAUCCCUAUCAGGGAAUGUAUUUACUAACUUAGGACACAUCAUUUCUCCUCUGAGCCUUCUUGCAUUGUCUCACACAUGAUCUUUUGAAGGAUACCCCACAUCCUAACCAUAACAUUCCACACUUGGCCCAGAAGCUCACAACCAUCUCACAAUGCAAAGUACAUUUUGUCCAUUCUCAAGAGUCUCCAUGGUCACAACUGUUCCAAGACUGCUCAAAGUUCAAGUCCAAAGUCUUCUCUGAGGUACAAUCAAUCUUUCAUUGGGAGUUCCUAUAAAAUUAAAAGCAAUUUACAAUUACCCAAUAUAUAAUGGGUACAGAGUAAGCAUUUUUAUUCACAAAAUUUGGUGCACAGAAAAAAGGCAUAGGACCAAAGCAAGACUAAAAUCCAGCUGGUCAAACAGGUCCUAUAGUUUUGUGUCAGCAUGUGGAACACAUGAUGUUCUCUCCAAAGGUCUUGUGUAUCAUUGCCCCCGUUGCCUUGUUGGUGUAGACCAAGGGGCCAUUUUGUUGACUGGUCUCUGCUCAAUGCCUGCAGUGUUCCAAGGAUAAUGUCUCAUGUUACUGACAUUUCUUAAUGCAACUUCAGUUUUCUCUUCACAUCUCCAGACUUUGACUUCUCAGGUGCCUGCAGGAACUCUAAUCCUGUGUUACUUUAUCUGGCUUCCUAGGCCUUCUUUUGAAAUCUUGGUAGAACCCGUCAUAAGUUCCUCACUCCAGUAUCCUACAGAACCAGAACAACAUGACUGGCACCAAGGUCUGCCACCAUGUUGAGCCAAGCCUCCAGGAUCCUGGCUGCAGCAGCCUCUGAGUGUUUGAGCAGCUGAGCCUGUUUUUUAAAUUAAUUCCCUGUUAGAGAUUAACUGAGUGGUAACUGAAGGCUGCUAGGGUGUGACUUGAAGAGGUGAGACAUUGGGGCAAGGCUUUGAGGUAUAUAUUUUAUAUCUUCUGAGUGCAGUUCCCUCUCUCUCCCCCCUGUUCAUCGUGUGAGCUGCUUCACUCUGCCACACUCUUCCACCAUGAUUUCCUAAACUUUCUAGGCCCCAUUGUGUAAGAAAGAUGCCUCACUGGUCUCUUCUUAAGAAAAUUCUCACCUUUACUCCCAGGAACUUGAGAUAGGUGUGGUCUUGCCAUAUUUUGAGAUGCCUUCAAGCCAUCUUUCUUAUUGUCUCUGGUCAAAUCUUUAGCAUAUUUGUAGUGGUAGUAAUGACUUUAACAACUGAAACUUUAUUAACCCUAAUUUUGUGGCCUGUCAAGUUCACUUUUUCCAAAUCUUAUGCUAUGUGUUCUGCUUCUGAAUAUUACAAUAAAUUUGGUUAAAAGGU